rnacentral:tRNA from 1 species
UCGCCGCCGGGGUGUGGAUGAUCGCCGUGGUCUGGCAGAUCAUCGAGAUGGGCGGCGGGCCCGGCGAGCUGUCGUUCGUCUCGGCAGCGGCGGC